CGUGUAGGCGGCCAGAUAAGUCCGCUGUGAAAUCUCGAGGCUCAACUUCGAGCUGUCGGCGGAAACUAUCUGGCUAGAGUCCGGAAGAGGAGAAUGGAAUUCCUGGUGUAGCGGUGAAAUGCGCAGAUAUCAGGAAGAACACCCGUGGCGAAGGCGGUUCUCUGGGACGGUACUGACGCUGAGAGCGAAAGCGUGGGGAGCGAAC
rnacentral:rRNA from 1 species